AUUGAACGCUGGCGGCAUGCCUUACACAUGCAAGUCGAACGGCAGCACGGGUGCUUGCACCUGGUGGCGAGUGGCGCACGGGUGAGUAUUACAUCGGAACAUGUCCUGUAGUGGGGGAUAGCCCGGCGAAAGCCGGAUUAAUACCGCAUACGAUCUACGGAUGAAAGCGGGGGACCUUCGGGCCUCGCGCUUUAGGGUUGGUCGAUGGCUGAUUAGCUAGUUGGUGGGGUAAAGGCAUACCAAGGCGACGAUCAGUAGCUGGUCUGAGAGGACGACCAGCCACACUGGAACUGAGACACGGCCCAGACUCCUACGGGAGGCAGCAGUGGGGAAUUUUGGACAAUGGGCGAAAGCCUGAUCCAGCAAUGCCGCGUGUGUGAAGAAGGCCUUCGGGUUGUAAAGCACUUUUGUCCGGAAAGAAAUCCUUGGCCCUAAUACGGUCGGGGGAUGACGGUACCGGAAGAAUAAGCACCGGCUAACUACGUG
rnacentral:rRNA from 1 species